AGAGAGAGACAUGCGCGCAUAUCAAUAAGCGGAGGAAAAGAAACUAACUAAGGAUUCCCUCAGUAACGGCGAGUGAAGCGGGAAGAGCUCAAAUUUGAAAUCUUCAAGGGUUCUACCUUUACGAAUUGUAGUUUAAAGAAGUGUUUUCUGUUGAAGUUUUGGUAAAAGUUCUUUGGAAUAGGACAUCAUAGAGGGUGAGAAUCCCGUAUUUGACCAUUAUUUCCAGCUUUGUGAUACACUUUCAAAGAGUCGGAUUGUUUGGGAAUGCAGUCCAAAAUGGGUGGUAAAUUUCAUCUAAAGCUAAAUAUUGGCGAGAGACCGAUAGCGAACAAGUACCGUGAGGGAAAGAUGAAAAGAACUUUGAAAAGAGAGUUAAACAGUACGUGAAAUUGUCAAAAGGGAAGCGUUUGACACCAGUGUUGUUUUCUCGAAAAUCAAUUAAAAAAGGCAGGAUUUUGUGUUGUAUUGACUUUAUCAGCUUUCUGCACUCUUUUCUUGUCUUUUUUAAUGCACUUUUCGUUUAACAAGUCAACAUCAAUUUCUUUUGUUGUAAAAGGGUCAUUGGAAGGUGGCUUUCUUUUCGGAGAAAGUGUUUAUAGCCUUUGGCCUCUGCAAUCGGAGAGAUUGAGGUCUGCAGCGUAGAUCCUUCGGGGUUAGAUACAUUUGUGCUAAGUUAUAGCCUUUCAUAGACAACUUGUUGACUAUGAUCAGUCAUGUAGCUUACUCGCUUAUGCUAUUUUACCUACGCUUAGGAUGUUGAUGUGAUACUGCGAGCA
rnacentral:rRNA from 1 species